AAUGAACGCUAGCGGCAGGCUUAAUACAUGCAAGUCGAGGGACAGCACAGGUAGCAAUACUGGGUGGUAACCGGCAAACGGGUGCGGAACACGUACACAACCUUCCUUUAAGUGGGGGAUAGCCCAGAGAAAUUUGGAUUAAUACCCCGUAAUAUAGUUGAAUGGCAUCAUUUGAUUAUUAUAGCUACGGCGCUUAAUGAUGGGUGUGCGGCUGAUUAGAUAGUUGGCGGGGUAACGGCCCACCAAGUCUACGAUCAGCAGCUGAUGUGAGAGCAGGCUCGGCCACACGGGCACUGAGACACGGGCCCGACUCCUACGGGAGGCAGCAGUAAGGAAUAUUGGUCAAUGGACGCAAGUCUGAACCAGCCAUGCCGCGUGAAGGAUUAAGGUCCUCUGGAUUGUAAACUUCUUUUAUUUGGGACGAAAAAGGGCCUUUCUAGGUCAACUGACGGUACCAGAUGAAUAAGCACCGGCUAACUCCGUGCCAGCAGCCGCAGUAAAAC
rnacentral:rRNA from 1 species